AUUGAACGCUGGCGGCAUGCUUUACACAUGCAAGUCGAACGGUAACAGGCCGCAAGGUGCUGACGAGUGGCGAACGGGUGAGUAAUGCAUCGGAACGUGCCCAGUCGUGGGGGAUAACGCAGCGAAAGCUGCGCUAAUACCGCAUACGAUCUAUGGAUGAUAGCGGGGGACCGUAAGGCCUCGCGCGAUUGGAGCGGCCGAUGUCAGAUUAGGUAGUUGGUGGGGUAAAGGCUCACCAAGCCAACGAUCUGUAGCUGGUCUGAGAGGACGACCAGCCACACUGGGACUGAGACACGGCCCAGACUCCUACGGGAGGCAGCAGUGGGGAAUUUUGGACAAUGGGCGCAAGCCUGAUCCAGCAAUGCCGCGUGCAGGAAGAAGGCCUUCGGGUUGUAAACUGCUUUUGUACGGAACGAAACGGUUCGGGUUAAUACCCUGGGCUAAUGACGGUACCGUAAGAAUAAGCACCGGCUAACUACGUGCCAGCAGCCGCGGUAACAC
rnacentral:rRNA from 1 species